GCGGCCUAUCAGCUUGUUGGUGAGGUAAGGCUCACCAAGGCUACGACGGGUAUCCGGCCUGAGAGGGCGACCGGACACACUGGGACUGAGACACGGCCCAGACUCCUACGGGAGGCAGCAGUGGGGAAUAUUGGGCAAUGGACGAAAGUCUGACCCAGCGACGCCGCGUGAGGGAUGAAGGCCUUCGGGUUGUAAACCUCUUUCAGUAGGGAAGAAGCGAAAGUGACGGUACCUAAAGAAGAAGCACCGGCUAACUAUGUGCCAGCAGCCGCGGUAAUACAUAGGGUGCAAGCGUUGUCCGGAAUUAUUGGGCGUAAAGAGCUCGUAGGUGGUUUGUUGCGUCGGGUGUGAAAUUCAGGGGCUCAACCCCUGACCUGCACUCGAUACGGGCAAGCUAGAGUUUGGUAGGGGAGACUGGAAUUCCU
rnacentral:rRNA from 1 species